GGGGUGGGUCGACUCAGCAGCUCCACCAUUUUACUGAGAGCCCAGGUGCUUUCUACCUCUCUGCUCUGCUGUGCUUGGCGUUGGCUUCACCUGAGGGUUGAAGGUUCUUUCCUUGGAUGAGAGAUAACUGUGAGUAACUGGCACAGUGGAAGGGAGAGAAAGGACACUUUCCCAGCCAUGGAAUCUGAGCUUCUGUCUUCAGUCUGAUUGGGCUAUUUUAGAUCCUGUGCUCACCCUAGCCCAAAAAGAUUCCCCGGAGAAAUGCCAUUUACUAAUACCCUUCGCCUAUCAGGAACCACCCCUGUGGACCCAGGAACAGGGUCUGUGUCCCUUGAAGCACGUGACAGCAGAGGACGGGAGGCUCCACCUGAACAUGACCAGGGGUCUCCUGGGGAGGAAAAAUGGAGAUGGAAGCUGCAGAGGAAACGAACAGCUGCCCCCACACAUGCCGUACAAGGCCUGCAUGGGAUGAUGUACGUAGAGCUGCAUUUAAUGUAUACUAAAAAUCACUGGGCCGUGUUGCUAACUUCUGUUAGCAGAGAAUGCAGAAAGGCUGUGGGAGCCUUUCAUUGCCAGCUCUACGUGACCCUUCCCCUUAUGAUCAACACCAGACCAGGGAUUUAACUACAAGGCCCUGCCUUACCCAGCUCUUUUUGUCCCCACUUUGCAAAGUUCCUAAAAUGUACCAGAUUUCUUUCUUCUUCAUGGUCUUAUAUGCUGAUCCCUCUGCGGAAAACAGUC
rnacentral:lncRNA from 1 species